rnacentral:lncRNA from 1 species
AGAGGAAAGCCAGUCCCAUUGGCUGCUGCUAUUGAUCUUAAUGUUGAUAAUCUUGUUCAUGGCUGGAUUCUGUAUACUGAUGAAAAACGGGGCAAAGAAAACCUUUUUAAAAUGGCCUGGUUUAAUAAACGGAGGACAUGAAGAUCAUCAACACUUGAGUCAAACUGCAGGUGAUCAUCAAAUUCCGUCCAAUUCCCAAUCCCACACCUUGGAGACCGAGAUACCUCUCGGCAGUGAUGGCAGAGAGGUCAAAGGUCAGAGUACAGGGCUGAUGCCCCAAUCUGGGGCUGUGCAGCAGGUCACAAUGGAGCACAAUGGGAAGGGUGAGAACGUCAGCAAUACUGUUGGGUCCAUCUACAUCUACUCUCCUGGAAUGGUGAUUUUGGGCUCCAACUCGGGUGAUAAAAAGGAAGAGGCAGGAGUUUGCGAAGAAGGCGUUCCCCUCAUCAGCAGACCACAGCAAGAGUCAAAUCCACCCUCGCAAGAGAUCAGAAUAAGAAUAAGCGCACAGGAAGAGGCCGAGGAGGAACUGAGCUUGAGUUUUCCUGUGCCGGCAACUGGAAAGUGAGAACUCGAACGUGGUUUCUUGCAUCUUUCAUGAUGGCCUUUAGGAAGAUUCCAGGUUGAAUCACAAGGCUGAAAAUCACAAGUGGCCAGAUAUAAGAUUCCUGGUAAAGCAUAACAUCAGCAAUGGCCAAGUCAUGGUUUCAGUUCCAGAGAAACAUGCACGCUGGCAAAAUGUACAGGCUACCUUGAUUGCACUGUAUGUCGAAUACGGAAUGCGCAGAUGUACAAGAUGGAAAACGCUGAGUAAUAACUUUUGCUUUCUUGUACAUCAAGGAAAAGAUUUAUGCUUCAUUUAAGUUGGUCAGUUUUUUUAAAUGCACAUGUCUGAAUUGCUGCUGCAGCGAAAAUGAGACAAACACAUGCAUGAAGACUGUGCACAGGAGGUACAGACGAAAGGGUGAGAAAAACGCCCUCAAAGGUGUUAUGAGUUUUCAAAAUGAAUAUCCUAUAAGACAGAGGCAGCAUAACUGAAAUGCACAUGAUGUGUAUGAAUUGUUUUAUUGUUUAAGCGAGUGGUCGAGAUCCUAACAACUGCGUCUGUAUGUUUCUAAUCACACUUUUGUUCUACUAUGUGGGUGUUUCAUAUGCAUGUCUAAAAAUACCCCACCUCACCUUCGGAAAGAAGGUGUCUGAUUUGACUGUUGUAGGAGGUCUGGUCGGGACAGACUGUGUCUGCCCUGCCACCUUUACAGCACGUGUUCAGAAUGACAUUUCUUCAUUCAUCUCACUUGAGCUUGUGUGCUUGUCGUUUUGCUUUGUUUGCAGUGUACAUGAAUGUUUGAUUAUAACAUUUGUAAAUGAAUGUGUUCUGAUUCUUCAUUAAUAUCAAGUCAAUAAAGUCCAUUCCUUCAACAAUUACAGAAUCUAUCUAUCUAUCGUUCUAUCGAUCUAUCUAUCGUUCUAUCUAUCUAUCGUUCUAUCUAUCUAUCUG